rnacentral:rRNA from 1 species
CCUACGGGGGGCAGCAGUAAGGGAUAUUGGUCAAUGGGGGAGACCCUGAACCAGCAACGCCGCGUGAGGGAAGACGGUUUUCGGAUUGUUAACCUCUGUCCUCUGUGAAGAUGAUGACGGUAGCAGAGGAGGAAGCUCCGUCUAACUACGUGCCAGAAGCCGUGGUAAUACGGAGGGAGCGAGCGUUGUACGGAUUUAGUGGGGGUAAAGGGUGCGUAGGGGGCUUGGCAAGUCAGUAGGUAAAUCCAUGGGCUUAAACCAUGAACUGCCAUUGAAACUGGCGGGCUUGAGUGAGGGAGAGGUAGGCGGAAUGCCCGGUGUAGCGGUGAAAUGCGUAGAUAUCGGGAAGAACACCAGUUGCGAAGGCGGCCUACUGGGCUUUAACUGACGCUGAGGCACGAAGGCGUGGGUAGCGAACAGGAUUAGAUACCCCUGUAGUC